CCGGAAGUGAAAUCGUGAGCGGAUGGCAGACGCGUUUGCCGCGCCUGUACUGUGAUGACGAAGCAUGAUGGCGACUGAGGUGGCCGAGUUCCUCCGGAGUCAUCAGCCAGCUGCUGCUAUCCCGGUAGUGAAGCAGCACACCUCACGUGGGAAUGGUAACCGGAUAAAAACCAAGGAGCUGCUGGUGUUGCCUUUUAAGUGAUGAUUAAGCCGGAAGCUGUGAAGUCAGGUCACAGAUAUUAUGCCGUGCCUGUGCUGGAGACGGUGACCUCUGACCUCCGGACAAAGCCCAUUGCUCAGCUGACAGAAGAUCCCUUCUGACCAAGAAGGUGAGGUCACGGCCAGUUCUGUCCCAGUCAGUUUGAGCCUGGCUGGACUACAGAUGUGGAGGGGGAAGGGCUGAAGCUCAGAUCUCGCGCCCUGAAUAGAUAUUGCCUUUUGAUCAUCCACAGGGGGAGCUCAAGUGCUGUGUAGAGACUGUUAAAGCUUGAGGGGUGAAGCUAGUUUCGUUCCCACAAGCGUCUCUGAGCAGGUUAAUGUGAAAUCUGUUCCCUUUCAAGUACAUCAAACCAUUGCUUCUGGUUACAGGCUGCUUGGCAGGUGCAUCCUUUUUAAGAUCCUUCCUUUCUUUCACUGGAACAGAGCCCUGCAGGCCAACCACAGGAACAAGUGCACAAGCGCACAAGUGUGAUAUGAUGAAGUAGAUAUUCACAGAGGCAGGGAUCCUAAUGUGUGAAUAUUCCAGGCCCUGGUGAAUCAUUAACCUUUUCUCAGACUUGUCUAUGGGUUAAACAUUUGCAUUUCUAACCACUGAUGACUGCUAUGA